AUACAUGCAGUCGAGCGGACCGACGGGAGCUUGCUCCCUUAGGUCAGCGGCGGACGGGUGAGUAACACGUGGGUAACCUGCCUGUAAGACUGGGAUAACUCCGGGAAACCGGGGCUAAUACCGGAUGCUUGAUUGAACCGCAUGGUUCAAUCAUAAAAGGUGGCUUUUAGCUACCACUUGCAGAUGGACCCGCGGCGCAUUAGCUAGUUGGUGAGGUAACGGCUCACCAAGGCGACGAUGCGUAGCCGACCUGAGAGGGUGAUCGGCCACACUGGGACUGAGACACGGCCCAGACUCCUACGGGAGGCAGCAGUAGGGAAUCUUCCGCAAUGGACGAAAGUCUGACGGAGCAACGCCGCGUGAGUGAUGAAGGUUUUCGGAUCGUAAAACUCUGUUGUUAGGGAAGAACAAGUACCGUUCGAAUAGGGCGGCACCUUGACGGUACCUAACCAGAAAGCCACGGCUAACUACGUGCCAGCAGCCGCGGUAAUACGUAGGUGGCAAGCGUUGUCCGGAAUUAUUGGGCGUAAAGCGCGCGCAGGCGGUUUCUUAAGUCUGAUGUGAAAGCCCCCGGCUCAACCGGGGAGGGUCAUUGGAAACUGGGGAACUUGAGUGCAGAAGAGGAGAGUGGAAUUCCACGUGUAGCGGUGAAAUGCGUAGAGAUGUGGAGGAACACCAGUGGCGAAGGCGACUCUCUGGUCUGUAACUGACGCUGAGGCGCGAAAGCGUGGGGAGCGAACAGGAUUAGAUACCCUGGUAGUCCACGCCGUAAACGAUGAGUGCUAAGUGUUAGAGGGUUUCCGCCCUUUAGUGCUGCAGCAAACGCAUUAAGCACUCCGCCUGGGGAGUACGGUCGCAAGACUGAAACUCAAAGGAAUUGACGGNGGCCCGCACAAGCGGUGGAGCAUGUGGUUUAAUUCGAAGCAACGCGAAGAACCUUACCAGGUCUUGACAUCCUCUGACAACCCUAGAGAUAGGGCUUCCCCUUCCGGGGCAGAAUGACAGGUGGUGCAUGGUUGCCGUCAGCUCCUGGC
rnacentral:rRNA from 1 species